GUGGGGAAUUUUGGACAAUGGGCGCAAGCCUGAUCCAGCAAUGCCGCGUGCAGGAAGAAGGCCUUCGGGUUGUAAACUGCUUUUGUACGGAACGAAACGGUCCGGGUUAAUACCCUGGGCUAAUGACGGUACCGUAAGAAUAAGCACCGGCUAACUACGUGCCAGCAGCCGCGGUAAUACGUAGGGUGCAAGCGUUAAUCGGAAUUACUGGGCGUAAAGCGUGCGCAGGCGGGUUUGUAAGACAGGCGUGAAAUCCCCGGGCUCAACCUGGGAAUUGCGCUUGUGACUGCAAGGCUGGAGUGCGGCAGAGGGGGAUGGAAUUCCGCGUGUAGCAGUGAAAUGCGUAGAUAUGCGGAGGAACACCGAUGGCGAAGGCAAUCCCCUGGGCCUGCACUGACGCUCAUGCACGAAAGCGUGGGGAGCAAACAGGAUUAGAAACCCCUGUAGUCC
rnacentral:rRNA from 1 species